rnacentral:lncRNA from 1 species
AUGAGGUGUGAAAAGCUCCACUUACUGCCCCCGGUCUAUGAAGAACGUCAAGAAGUCCAUGAAGAUCCGCCGUGUUUCUUUGGAGUUGGUCUGUUUGUAGAGGUGUCCUCUUGGUCCUGCUCAGAGCACAUCAGCUCCAUUUCUAAAUUGCAGCCAAGUCUUAUCAAGCCUGGGAAGGGGAGGGUCUCGACAGACGCCCACAGAAGCUGAUGUGGGCGGAGCCAGAAAGACAGACAGCGUGAUAGACGGGCAUCUUACCCUGUUUGACGAGCUGCACGAAAACAGGGUUGUCCCCGCUGACGGUCAGCCCAAAGCCAUUCUCAUCUUUCUGAAUGAUCACGCAUCUCUGAACCAGCCCUGGAGGAAGGGAGAGAACAAGAGGAGAGAGAAAUUGAGCUAUGAAAGCAGCUAUGAAACUGAUUUUACUGGAUUGCCAAUGUCUUUAUUAAAGCAUUCAUCAGAAGAGGCCUAUCAAAGCAGAUUACAGUAACAAUGACUCCAAUACCUGAUCGAACUGACAGUGCAAGUAAGCGCAGACAGUUACAGGCAUAAAGUACUUGGCAACAUAAAAAAUCUGCAGAGUUGUGAAAUGAACGCAUCAAUCUUGCAAUCCAAUUAAAAUCUAGCCCCCUUCCCAGCAUAAUGGAGGGAUACAAGAAAUGAUGAGAGCAGUGGAGACGUGGGUUAUCACGGUCAUCUAAUGCUGCAGUGUGAGAGAUGGGCCUACUUACAAAACUGAUAGCUCAUCAGAUCUGAAAACAAAAGCCGCAGUUCUCGGAUCACAGAAAUUGAUAUGAACUGCUCAAACAGUCACACACAGAUUUAAUAUACCCUCAACUCCUCAAGAAAUAUUGCAGUUUAAACAUGACAAAGCUACAGUCAGCGUUGUUUUCCACAGAGUUUACAUAUAGUUACAUCACAUAUCUUUCUCAUAUCCUUGCAUGUAUUGUGAAAAUUACUUGAUCUUAAUGGUCGUGACUGAAUUUGAAAAGAUUGAAUUUAACAGAGAGAACUGGUAAUUGAUUACAUGCUAACCCAUGUGAUGUUUAGGUGUUAUGGAUAUACUUCUGAAAAGUCAUUUUAAUUUAACUGUUUAAUAAAUCAUUUAUUUUCUUGCUAAUUGGACACCAUACAGAUGUUGUCUGUGAGGUUUAACCCUCCAAAUUAAAACUAAUUAUAUAAAUAAAAUAUCAUAAAUUAAACAUUUUCUGGCGUUAACGCAGUAAUAAUAGUUAUAGUAACAGUAAUAGUAAUAAUAAUAUCAAAAGUAUUUAUGUUAUAAAAUAACUGUUCAAAUAAAAACUGUUCUUUAUAUUCAAUAAAGAAUACUGAAAAAUGUAUUAUGGUUUCUACAAAAAUGUUAAAGGAUGUUUACCCAAAAAAGAAAAUUUUUAAGUCAUAAGUCAUUAAUUACACACCUUCACAUCUUUUCAAACCUGAAUUUCGUUCAUCUUCAGAACACAAAUUAAAAUAUUUUUGAUGAAAUCCGAGAGCUUUCUGACCCUCCACAGACAGCAAUUCAACUACCACGUUCAAGGUCCAGAAAGGUAGUAAGGACAUCAAUAGAAUAGUCCAUUUGACAUCAGUGGUUCAACCUUAAUUUUAUGAAGCUACAAGAAUGCUCUUUGUGUGCAAACAAUACAAAAAAUAAUGACUUUAUUCAAUGACGCGCGUUCACGAGAGCAGGGCUGCAACAACUAAUCGAUAAAAUCAAUUAUUAUCGAGAAUGAAAAUCUUCGACAACGUUUCUCAUUAUUGAUUAGUCAGGUCAACCCAUAGUGCAUGUCCAACUUCAGCCGGUCACAUUAAAUUACAGCAGUGAAUAACGCAUUUCUAUGGACAAAAUGCAUCUAAAAAUAGUGGAGGAAACAGAAUGAGCUCCUGCAGGAAAAGUACGCGAUCAAAGCUGCCCAAAACAUGAGAAAUCUUUAUUUUAAGCUUCAAGCUCAUGCAUUAACGUAAUGGUUUGCCCUGUCAGUUGCUCUGACAGAUACGUGUGUGCAUCCUCAGUGCAAAAAAAACUUUCAGUUAACGGUCAUAUCCUUAUCUGUAAACGUCACAAAUUCACGCAAGCCUUUUUGCAUAAAGGCUUGCCUGACAGUCUGCGUUAAGUUGAAAUCUUUACUGAAAGAGCAUGGGCGUGGAGAGGGAGACAAUAUUCAGCACAAAAAUAUUAAUUGUGCUGAAAUAUCUGUUGUUGAACAUUAACUUUAGCUUUAAAAGUCAACAUGCAGUGUGAGUAAUUUAUGAGAGAAGGAACUGUAAAGGGACAGCAGCGUGUAAUUGAAUAAGUGUCUGAAUAUAAAUGUCAGUCGCUUUUAUAGGAUAAAUAAAUGACAGUAAGAGAGGAGAGUGACUGUGAUCAAAGUGCAAGCGAUGCGUGUUCCUGCAGAGCAUUACUGUGAUUUUAUUCGUCUUUAUUAUCUUUUAAUAACAUAGGUUUGUGCCACUGCUGCUCUUAACUAACAGUAUUGGGAAUUACCAAAAUCAUUUUUCAGCUUGUGCGUUAUAGUGUUUUUUUUUUAUUCAGAUAACAAAUUAGUCAAAAAGUAUAUAAACAAUGCCAGGAAGCAUGCAAGCUAUUAUCAAAGGCAAAGGAGGCCAUUUCUAUUAUUAUGUGAAUAAAUACUACUUAAUUGUUUCGGUUUGUAAUUUGCCCAAUAAAUGGCAAUAACUUUUUUAGAUUUACAUUUUUUUUUUUGACAGAUUCCUAAAAUAUGUGUUUUCUCUAUUAUGACAGGUGGUGUAAUAAAUUGUUAAGCACUGCAUGUUUUCACAGCAUUCAGGUGGAACAUUUGUUUGAAGGACAUUGGGCAGAAUGUGGAAUAGUGUGCUUUUGUCAAUAAAAUUAAAAUAAAGAAAAUUGUUUUGGUUUUUUAAAUCCGAUUAAUCAAAUAAAUAAUCGGCCAACUAAUCGAUUAUCAAAAUAAUUGUUAGUUGCAGCCCUACACGAGAGUACUUCGAUGUAUGCAUGUGGUGCUGCUGAUGCAGAAGCCGGUGUAGCCUGCAGUAGAACCCAGAUGCGCUGCACCUUGUUUACAAGCAGAGGAUAAGGCACGCUGUAGUGCUGUGUUCAAUACGACUAUACGAGUAUCGAUACAGCUGGCCCUGUAUCGAUAUUGUGGCACGUGUGCAGCAGUGGACUGCACUUAAUUUGACUACAAGAACAACUUUUAAAAUGAGUAGAAAAGUUUGAGGUUUACUAAAAAAAAUAUGAAUAGAGCAUAAUACAUAUGCUACAACAAGGUUUAAUCUGGCUGCAGAGGAACACAACUGGGUUGCCUGAUACAAAGAGACGUAAUCCCUGAAAAAGAGCUUCCAACUUGUGCAAUAUGGAAAUAUCUGCAAAGUGUGCUAAUUAUCUUUGUCAACCUGGAAACCAUGAGCAUGCACUCUCUCUCCACUGUGGAUAAAUGUGCUUGCUUUCUGAAAACACUUCUCCACUUCAAUAUUCUAUUCUCAGAAAAGUGUAAUUCAUCAAGUGUUCAUUUAUGAGAAAUAGAGAAAGGCUGUGUAUGUAUGAAUUACCAUGGUUUUGCCGCGUUUCUCUAUUAACAGUGAAGCUGUGGCUUUAAUUCCUUUAAAAAAAAAUGUUACCAGCUCCUUGUUGAGAAAGAUAAUGUAGCCCUUGAUGCGAUUAAGCCAUUUAGCUGAUAAAAUUGCAAGGCAAGUUUGUUCCUGAAUGUCUGAGUGCGGCCACAACGUGAUCUUUGUGAGUGAGUGAGCAUGUGUGUGCGUGAGACACAGUGAAGACAGCGCGUUAGUUUAGAAC